rfam:Triticum aestivum genome assembly, contig: Triticum_aestivum_CS42_TGACv1_scaffold_288157_4AL
CAGAUACUCCCUUCGUCCGGAAAUACUUGUCAUCAAAAUGGAUAGAAGAGGAUGUAUCUAGAUGUAUUUUUGUUCUAGAUACAUAUGUUUUUAUCUAUUUUGAUGACAAGUAUUUUCAAACGGAGGGAGUAUCUU